GGGCCAUUAGCUCAGUCGGUUAGAGCUGGCGACUCAUAAUCGCUUGGUCGCAGGUUCGAGUCCUGCAUGGCCCA
rnacentral:tRNA from 1 species